rnacentral:antisense_RNA from 1 species
CCUCCGGUGACACUUCUUGUUCGAGGAGUGAUAAUCCAAGUCCCGCUCCUUCUUG